CCUACGGGGUGCAGCAGUGGGGAAUAUUGGACAAUGGGCGAAAGCCUGAUCCAGCCAUGCCGCGUGUGUGAAGAAGGCCUUCGGGUUGUAAAGCACUUUCAGUGGGGAAGAAAGCCUUGGGGCUAAUACCCUCGAGGAAGGACAUCACCCACAGAAGAAGCACCGGCUAACUCCGUGCCAGCAGCCGCGGUAAUACGGAGGGUGCGAGCGUUAAUCGGAAUUACUGGGCGUAAAGCGCGCGUAGGCGGUCUGAUAAGCCGGUUGUGAAAGCCCCGGGCUCAACCUGGGAACGGCAUCCGGAACAGUCAGGAUAGAGUGCAGGAGAGGAAGGUAGAAUUCCCGGUGUAGCGGUGAAAUGCGUAGAGAUCGGGAGGAAUACCAGUGGCGAAGGCGGCCUUCUGGACUGACACUGACGCUGAGGUGCGAAAGCGUGGGUAGCAAACAGGAUUAGAUACCCCGGUAGUC
rnacentral:rRNA from 1 species